rnacentral:sRNA from 1 species
UGAUGCCGCACUUCGUCGCUGAAUGCACACUCCUCUUGCUGGCUUUGCUGA